rnacentral:rRNA from 1 species
AUAAGGGCGCACGGUGGAUGCCUUGGCACUAGGAGCCGAUGAAGGACGGGACUAACACCGAUAUGCUUUGGGGAGCUGUACGUAAGCUAUGAUCCAGAGAUUUCCGAAUGGGGGAACCCAACAUCUUUAAUAGGAUGUUACGAUUGUGUGAAUACAUAGCACAUUCGAGGUAGACGCAGAGAACUGAAACAUCUAAGUACCUGCAGGAAGAGAAAGAAAAUUCGAUUCCCUGAGUAGCGGCGAGCGAAACGGGAAAAGCCCAAACCAGCAAGCUUGCUUGUUGGGGUUGUAGGACUCCAAUAUGGUAGUUCUUUCAGAUAGUCGAAUGACUUGGAAAAGUCAGUCAAAGAGGGUAAAAACCCCGUAGACGAAAUGUGGAAGACACCUAGGAGGAUCCUGAGUACGGCGGAACACGAGAAAUUCCGUCGGAAUCCGGGAGGACCAUCUCCCAAGGCUAAAUACUCCCUAGUGACCGAUAGUGAACCAGUACCGUGAGGGAAAGGUGAAAAGCACCCCGGAAGGGGAGUGAAAUAGAACCUGAAACCGUGUGCCUACAACAAGUCAAAGCCCGUUAAUGGGUGAUGGCGUGCCUUUUGUAGAAUGAACCGGCGAGUUACGAUUGCAUGCGAGGUUAAGUUGAAGAGACGGAGCCGCAGCGAAAGCGAGUCUGAAUAGGGCGUUUGAGUAUGUAGUCGUAGACCCGAAACCAUGUGAUCUACCCAUGUCCAGGUUGAAGGUGCGGUAAAACGCACUGGAGGACCGAACCCACGUACGUUGAAAAGUGCGGGGAUGAGGUGUGGGUAGCGGAGAAAUUCCAAACGAACUUGGAGAUAGCUGGUUCUCUCCGAAAUAGCUUUAGGGCUAGCCUCGGAAUUGAGAAUGAUGGAGGUAGAGCACUGUUUGGACUAGGGGCCCAUCUCGGGUUA